rnacentral:tRNA from 1 species
ACCUGGCUGGCUCAGUUGGUAGAGCAUGCGACUCUUGAUCUCAGGGUCACGAGUUCAAGCCCCACGUUGGGUG